rnacentral:rRNA from 1 species
AUUGAACGCUGGCGGCAGGCCUAACACAUGCAAGUCGAACGGUAACAGGAAGAAGCUUGCUUCUUUGCUGACGAGUGGCGGACGGGUGAGUAAUGCCUGGGAAACUGCCUGAUGGAGGGGGAUAACUACUGGAAACGGUAGCUAAUACCGCAUAACGUCGCAAGACCAAAGAGGGGGACCUUCGGGCCUCUUGCCAUCGGAUGUGCCCAGAUGGGAUUAGCUAGUUGGUGGGGUAACGGCUCACCAAGGCGACGAUCCCUAGCUGGUCUGAGAGGAUGACCAGCCACACUGGAACUGGGACACGGUCCAGACUCCUACGGGAGGCAGCAGUGGGGAAUAUUGCACAAUUGGCGCAAGCCUGAUGCAGCCAUGCCGCGUGUAUGAAGAAGGCCUUCGGGUUGUAAAGUACUUUCAGCGGGGAGGAAGGGAGUAAAGUUAAUACCUUUGCUCAUUGACGUUACCCGCAGAAGAAGCACCGGCUAACUCCGUGCCAGCAGCCGCCGUAA